rnacentral:rRNA from 1 species
UGCCAUCGGUUCGGCCGGGCACUCUGAAGGAACUGCCGGUGACAAGCCGGAGGAAGGUGGGGAUGACGUCAAGUCCUCAUGGCCCUUAUGGGCUGGGCUACACGCGUGCUACAAUGGCGGUGACAGAGGGCAGCGAAGCCGUGAGGCAGAGCAAAUCCCUAAAAACCGUCUCAGUUCGGAUUGCACUCUGCAACUCGAGUGCAUGAAGGUGGAAUCGCUAGUAAUCGCGGAACAGCAUGCCGCGGUGAAUACGUUCCCGGGCCUUGUACACACCGCCCGUCACACCAUGGGAGUUGGUUUGACCCGAAGCCGGUGCGCUAACCCGCAAGGGGGGCAGCCGACCACGGUCAGGUCAGCGACUGGGGUG